GUCUUAGUAAGAACUAGCACUAGACUUCUUCCCCCCUUUCUUUUCUACUUUUUCUCUCUCCUUUUGUUUGUGCUUCCACCCGGGCUUUUCAUUCUGUUUUAUAGAGACCCGGGGAAAUUCUAUAUAAUAAUAAAUGUAGAAAGGUGAGGGUGAGGUACUUUCCCCGGCAUACGGAAAGAAAAUCCAGGACGACGGCUUUCAAAAGACGAGUAAGGGACGGGGAGAGGGAGGCUCUCGAAACCAAACGAGACUAGAAAGAACAUGGGAAUUAGCACCAUUCAUAUGAGUGCUUUUGUCUCUUCGAGACAA
rnacentral:lncRNA from 1 species